AACGAACGCUGGCGGCAUGCCUAACACAUGCAAGUCGAACGAGAUCUUCGGGUCUAGUGGCGCACGGGUGCGUAACGCGUGGGAAUCUGCCCUUUGGUUCGGAAUAACAGUUGGAAACGACUGCUAAUACCGGAUGAUGACGAAAGUCCAAAGAUUUAUCGCCAGAGGAUGAGCCCGCGUAGGAUUAGCUAGUUGGUGUGGUAAAGGCGCACCAAGGCGACGAUCCUUAGCUGGUCUGAGAGGAUGAUCAGCCACACUGGGACUGAGACACGGCCCAGACUCCCACGGGAGGCAGCAGUGGGGAAUAUUGGACAAUGGGCGAAAGCCUGAUCCAGCAAUGCCGCGUGAGUGAUGAAGGCCUUAGGGUUGUGAAGCUCUUUUACCCGGGAUGAUAAUGACAGUACCGGGAGAAUAAGCUCCGGCUAACUCCGUGCCAGCCGCCGCAGUAA
rnacentral:rRNA from 1 species